rnacentral:rRNA from 1 species
UACAGAGGUCCCAAGCGUUGUUCGGAUUUACUGGGCGUAAAGGCGCGUAGGCGGUCAGCACAAGUCAGUUGUGAAAUCUCCGGGCUUAACUCGGAAAGGUCAACUGAUACUGUGCGACUAGAGUGCGGAAGGGGCAACUGGAAUUCUCGGUGUAGCGGUGAAAUGCGUAGAUAUCGAGAGGAACACCUGCGGCGAAGGCGGGUUGCUGGGCCGACACUGACGCUGAGACGCGAAAGCGUGGGGAGCAAACAGG